AUUGAACGCUGGCGGCAUGCUUUACACAUGCAAGUCGAUCGGCAGCGCGGGCUUCGGCCUGGCGGCGAGUGGCGAACGGGUGAGUAAUGCAUCGGAACGUGCCCAGUAGUGGGGGAUAGCCCGGCGAAAGCCGGAUUAAUACCGCAUACGACCUGAGGGUGAAAGCGGGGGACCGAAAGGCCUCGCGCUAUUGGAGCGGCCGAUGUCGGACUAGCUAGUUGGUGGGGUAAAGGCUUACCAAGGCGACGAUCCGUAGCUGGUCUGAGAGGACGACCAGCCAAACUGGAACUGAGACACGGCCCAGACCCCUACGGGAGGAAGCGGUGGGGAAUUUUGGACAAUGGGGGCACCCCGGACCCGGCAAUGCCGCGGGGGGAAAGAGGGCCUCCGGGUUGUAACCCGCUUUUGUUGGGAAAGAAAUCCUCUGGGCUAAUACCCCGGGGGAUGACGGUACCGGAAGAAUAAGCACCGGCUAACUACGUG
rnacentral:rRNA from 1 species